CAAAACAAAACAAAAAAAAAAAAAAAAAAAAACCAUUUCUGUCUCACUCUCCCACACUUUGGAGCUUCCAAGACCAACCUCUAGACGCAGGCCACCGGACUCUGGCGACUCCUAUGACCCAAUCCCGGCCUCCCCCCGAAUCUGAAGACGAUUCCCGCCGACCCCUCUCCCCCUCCGGCGGCGGCGGAGGAACAGGUAUGAGACUCAUAGUGCCCUUACAAGGGGUAGUUCAAGGUAGGGGUGGCUUAAUCUUGGGGUCUCUGAUCCCUUGUGCCCUAUUCUACUUCCUCCAGUUCCACCUCAAGCGCCACCGCUCUCCUCCUCCUCCGCCGCCGUCGUCACCUUCCUCAUCCAACCUCGCCGAGCUUUCUCGGACUGCGUCGCGGUCUAAUUUGUUGAGCCGUGGAUCGAUAGGGCAGGCUAACAUAUCUUCUAGGGCUAGUCCGAUUGCGAAGCCUAAUGAUUCGCCCUAUUACAUUGGAUUGGAUAGGGUUUCUGAAGAUUCUUACGAUUCGUUGAAGAAUCCAAAUGGUAUCAUUCAGCUCGGAUUAUCAGAAAAUAGGCUAUCACUGGAUUUGAUUGACAAGUGGUUUUCGCAAAAUUUCAACGAUUCUAUACUUGGAGGAGGAGGAGGAAGUGGGAGUUUGGGUAUUAGUGGAAUUGCGACAUACCAACCGUUCGAUGGAAUGCCAGAACUAAAAGAGGCUGUGGCAGGUUUCAUGUCCCGGGUAAUGGGAGGAGCAGUAUCUUUUAACUCAUCGCAACUAGUAUUAACAUCUGGUGCGACUCCUGCAAUCGAGAUACUCAGCUUUUGUUUGGCAGACCAGGGGAAUGCAUUUCUCAUUCCCACACCAUACUACCCAGGUUUUGAUAGGGAUAUAAAGUGGCGAACAGGAGUAGAGCUAAUACCUGUUCACUGUCGUAGCUCCGACAAUUUCAUUUUAAGUAUCACAGCUCUUGAACAAGCAUUCAAUCAAGCGAGAAAAAGGGGACAAAAAGUUCGUGGAAUUAUCUUCUCAAAUCCUUCUAACCCUGUUGGCAAUCUGCUUACUCGGGAAACACUCUACAACCUCUUAGACUUUGCCAGAGAUAAGAACAUCCAUAUCAUAUCUGAUGAAAUAUUUGCAGGGUCCACCUAUGGAAGCGAAGACUUUGUAAGCAUGGCAGAAAUUCUUGACUCUGAAGAUUUUGACAAGAACCGGGUUCAUAUAAUAUAUGGGCUAUCCAAAGAUUUUUCCCUCCCAGGAUUUAGAGUUGGGGUUAUCUAUUCCCAAAAUGAGAAUGUUUUGACAGCUUCCAAAAGGUUGGCGAGAUUUUCUUCAAUUUCAGCUCCAACCCAACGGCUACUAAUUUCAAUGCUGUCAGAUAUGCAAUUCAUGCAGGAAUACAUUGAUAUCAAUAGAAAGAGGAUACGAUCAUUGUAUGAUUUGUUUGUGGCAGGUUUGAAUCAAUUAGGGAUUGAGUGUGCAAAUAGCAGUGGGGGUUUAUACUGCUGGGCUAAUAUGAGCAAAUUAAUUCGACCUUACAAUGAGAAAGGGGAGAUUGAAUUAUGGGAUAAACUCUUGAGCAUAGCGAAGAUCAACGUAACUCCUGGGUCAGCUUGCCACUGCAUUGAACCAGGGUGGUUCAGGUGUUGUUUCACUACAUUAUCGGAAAAUGAUAUUCCCAUAGUUAUGGAACGAAUUAGUAAGGUCAUAGAAAUUUGUACACAUACUUGAAGUGCCUUGAACUUGUGGAGUUUAAGAUAUGAUGACAUUGCUCUAUGAGAAAUCACGAUUAGAGUGUUUGAUUGAAGUAGAUGUGCCAGCAUUACUAUGUCGGAGCCCUUGCAGAUUUUGAAAUUUGUUCAUGGUGGUUAUUGAAAUUCGUUCGUUCAUUACAGAACUUCUAAAUAAAAUAUUUACAUUCUCAUGACUCGGCAUUGAAAAGUGACAAUCUACAAAGUGAUGGUUGAUGGAGAGAGAUAAUUUUACGGUGAUUUUGAACUGUAAGGCAGGAAGAUCUCAGUUUCCUACAUCAGUUUCAGUUGUAUGUGCCUCUUCCACUUUCUCUGCAAUCUUCUAGUCCCAUUGUUAGUUCCAAAGAUGCGGCACCGAACUGCAUUCUUCAUAAACUCCUGCCAUUGUUACAAUCAGAUAAGCAUGUUUUAAUCAAAACAUUACCAUUGGGAGGUUCUGUCUCAGAGUUUGAACAGCUUUCCUUUGGUAACUUCUUCGACUAAUCAUUAUUACCUCUCCUAGUGUUGCUGGCCUUGCUGUGACACUCGAAUUGCUUUCUUGAUCAUAAUCUGUACUUUGUACUUCCAUUGGAGUAUUAGAAGAGUUUUUCUAGGCAGCCAAGCUUUUCAAUUAAGCUUGAAUCGGGUGACAAAGAUGCCCCAACUGGGCUGCUUGUUCCUGUUGUAUAGCUGCUCAUGCUGCUUUCAGAUUCAGAAGCCGGUGAAGAAGGGGUUUGCUGCUGGUGAACAGCAUCAGAAGCAGCCGCAGUUGAUAAAAGAUGAUUGGCUAGCGGGGAUGGAGCUCUGAGCAAAAGGAUUCAUCUGUUACAAAACCGAAUGCUUCAAGACCUGGUUCCAAAAUCUCCUCACUAGGAACACCAUCACCACAACUACCAUGGUCAUCAUCAUCAUUUUCUAGAGAGGCAAUGAGCUUUUGUGGUGGGAGUUGAAUUCUGCUUCUUGUGGUGUCUGGGGGAAUCAGGGAAACGGUUUUCCAGGCUUUUCCUCCCAUUUGAAGGGAACCAAGGCAACAAGCUUGACUGGAGGAGGUGAUGCAGCUGGAUGAAUUGUUGGGGUGGUGGGUUUUCAGUCUUUUUUAGGUGUUCCUGGUUUUUCCUCCCAAAUGAAUGGAAUAGAAACUGGUUAUCUGAUUUGCUUUCGGUUUCGAUGUGCUGCCAAGAGUGAGUUCUCAACCAUUGAGAGUCAAAAUUUAGAAGUCCACAGCCAGAUUCUAACAUGCAUUGUACAUAUAUAUAUAUACUAGCCAUAUAUAUGGAUUAGAAACGUUUUCUACUAAACCCCCUACAUCCUAACUGCUGCACCAUAUUUAUGUCUUUCUGAUUAGCUUCACAUGCUCUCUCAAAUCCAACCCAGGCCCUUAUUUGUAUGAACACUGUUAAACAAUAUAACAUUUGUGACCCAUUGACUAAA